UACGGAGGGUCCAAGCGUUAUCCGGAAUCAUUGGGUUUAAAGGGUCCGUAGGCGGGCAAUUAAGUCAGAGGUGAAAUCCCACAGCUCAACUGUGGAACUGCCUUUGAUACUGGUUGUCUUGAGUCAUAUUGAAGUGAGUAGAAUAUGUAGUGUAGCGGUGAAAUGCUUAGAUAUUACAUAGAAUACCGAUUGCGAAGGCA
rnacentral:rRNA from 1 species